UUGAACGCUGGCGGAAUGCUUUACACAUGCAAGUCGAGCGGCAGCGCGGGGCAACCUGGCGGCGAGCGGCGAACGGGUGAGUAAUAUAUCGGAACAUAUCCUGUCGUGGGGGAUAACUAAUCGAAAGGUUAGCUAAUACCGCAUACGACCUGAGGGAGAAAGCGGGGGCUCGCAAGACCUCGCGCGAUUGGAGUGGCCGAUAUCUGAUUAGCUAGAUGGUGAGGUAAAGGCUCACCAUGGCGACGAUCAGUAGCUGGUCUGAGAGGAUGAUCAGCCACACUGGAACUGAGACACGGUCCAGACUCCUACGGGAGGCAGCAGUGGGGAACUUUGGACAAUGGGGGAAACCCUGAUCCAGCCAUUCCGCGUGAGUGAAGAAGGCCUUCGGGUUGUAAAGCUCUUUCAGGAGGGAAGAAACGGUUGCGGCUAAUACCCGCGACUAAUGACGGUACCUUCAGAAGAAGCACCGGCUAACUACGU
rnacentral:rRNA from 1 species